rnacentral:rRNA from 1 species
UCAAGCUCUGCUUGGUAUUGGGCGUCGCCGGGGAGUCUCCCCGGCGUGCCUCAAAGCCAU